CGCACUGUGGGGUAUCUGCAUGCAGUUGUAUAUCUGACUGUAUGUUCAAAUGGCAGUGCUAGAUUACUUCGGCACCUACUAUUAUUGGGCCUUAUAUCUGUUGUUGGGUCCUAGUAGUGGUCGAUACAAUU